GACGAACGCUGGCGGCGGGCCUAAUACAUGCAAGUAGGACGCAGUUGCGAACGGGUGAGUAGCGCGUAGGUAACUGGCUAUGAGAGGGGGAUAACUAUUGGAAACGAUAGCGAAUACCGCAUACUAGUAGAUGGACCUGCGUUGUAUUAGUCCGUAGGUAGGGUAAUGGCCUACCUAGGCGAAGAUACAUAGCCGACCUGGGAAGGUUGUCGGGCAACCUGGGACUGGUGCCCUGCCCAGACCCCCACGGGAGGGAGCCAGAGGGAAUCUUCGGCAAUGGGGGGAAACCUGACCGCGCAACGCCGCGUGAGUGAAGAAGGGUUUCGGGUUGUAAAACUCCGUUGUUAAGGAAGCGUUACUUAACCAGGAAGGAACGGCUAACUACGUGCCAGCAGCCGCGGUAAUAC
rnacentral:rRNA from 1 species